GAUGAACGCUGGCGGCGUGCCUAACACAUGCAAGUCGAGCGAUCUUCUUCGGAAGAGAGCGGCGGACGGGUGAGUAACGCGUGGGUAACCUGCCUCAUACACAUGGAUAACAUACCGAAAGGUAUGCUAAUACAAGAUGAUAUAAGAGAUUCGCAUGGAUUUCUUAUCAAAGCUCCGGCGGUAUGAGAUGGAGCCGCGUCUGAUUAGCUAGUUGGUAAGGUAACGGCUUACCGAGGCGACGAUCCGUAGCCGACCUGAGAGGGUGAUCGGCCACAUUGGAACUGCGACACGGUCCAUACUCCUACGGGAGGCAGCAGUGGGGAAUAUUGCACAAUGGGCGAAAGUCUGAUGCAGCAACGCCGCGUGAGUGAUGAAGGCCUUCGGGUCGUAAAGCUCUGUCCUCAAGGAAGAUAAUGACGGUACUUGAGGAGGAAGCCCCGGCUAACUACGUGCCAGCCGCCGCGGUAAAAC
rnacentral:rRNA from 1 species